rnacentral:rRNA from 1 species
GACGCAGUGACAGGUGCUGCAUGGCUGUCGUCAGCUCGUGUCGUGAGAUGUUCGGUUAAGUCCGGCAACGAGCGCAACCCACAUCCUUAGUUGCCAGCAGUUCGGCUGGGCACUCUAGGGAAACUGCCCGUGAUAAGCGGGAGGAAGGUGUGGAUGACGUCAAGUCCUCAUGGCCCUUACGGGUUGGGCUACACACGUGCUACAAUGGCA